rnacentral:lncRNA from 1 species
AUGUGUUUGUGUCGCCCAGCCUUGUUUGUGUGUGGGUUUAUCGGCAGGCUUUCGAACUUGAAGGCUUUUCAGAUGUAGUUCGGAGGCCACUUGCUGCACUUGUUUGACUCGCCGCACAGAUGGAGAACGUAAUCAUCGAAGGAGCAGGCGAGCUCGAUGGCACGCUUGAUUGCACUCCACCGAUGGCGUCAUUAAGCCCAAGCUCAUUUGAUACCGUCAUCCAAGACGUUCAACACACCUUUGGAAAUAUAUGGGAGGUGACAAAAUCUCGUGCUUCCGACGAUGGCCAAAUUGAGAUUGACGGAUAUCUAAUUGAUGCUGGUAACAUGGAGGA